rnacentral:pre_miRNA from 2 species
UGCUUCUAACUUUCCAAUAAUGUAUCCUUCUGGGCUGAAACUUUCCAUCCUUCGUUUCAGCUCAAAGGUAAAUUUAUUUUGGAAAGUUCACAC